AGCGUAAUUUUAUUUAUGCUAGUUACUUACAUUUUUUCCCUGCCUUUUAUAAUCUUAAACUUUGCAUUCUCUUUGCAGUUAGGAUUCCUUAGUUUAGAAGAGGAGGUACCAGUAGCUCGAGUUUAUUUUAUACUGUAGAUGUGUCCUGUUUAAUCAAGAUGUAAUUAUACAUACAUAUACCCCAUUGUUUGUGGAUGCACUCAAGCCUUGCAAUCCCUUGCACUCAGAACUCUGGUUAUUUCUAUGAAGGUUUUCCCUCUGUCUGAAGAGAAUUCACACUGCAGACGACCCCAGCUAGUAGCCGUAUCAAUCAGAGGUACCUGAAACAGAGUUUUGGAAUCCUUCACAGAAACUUCCUCCUACAGACUGAUCCUAUGAAAUGCCCCAACAGCUCUAAGUGCUUUUGCUGCUGCACUUGGUGAAGGUAUAAAUGAACUGUACUUGUCAGGACUGGAGAUACUGCAGUGAAGCCACCGAGGCAGGAUGCCUUUCAGUCAUGUGUGUUCUGAUGGCCAAAGGCAGUUUCAUCUUGGUGCUCUCGUAGCUGCUGUAACGCAUCCUCCUAACCCAUUCUGACACUGAAUAGAGAUGGCAACCAUCAGCUGUGGACAGGAACAGACCAUGUCAAAGGUCUUGUGCAAAGAGUAUGCAGGAAAGACCCUGCUAUACACUGCAUGUGUGAUGUGUUAAGUCAGUCUCCUCCCUAGGGAUAGGAAAUUUUUGGAUUAAAAUGGUCUUGCAAUAAUGCUGAAUUCCUUGAGUUAAUUUCUUAAAAGCCCUGAGGGACAGGAAUGGGUUACUUACAACCCUGACAGUACUUGGUUUCAGAUUCCCUAACAAGUGAUGCUCGUCAGUUGUUUCCAGUUAUGCACAUUUCUGCCAAGAAAAUCAGCAAAGAAAAUUAAUUGACCCAAUUACUCUUACAGGAUUUGGGGACCAGGGGUGUUUUUGUUAGAUAAGGUGUUUCUAUAGACCCACCCAAAUUCCAUCUCAACACAAAGUUAAAGUCAAGUUAUCAGGACCAUCUAGUUCUUUUUCAUGGCGCUUGCAUAUGGUUCCAGCUGUGUGCAUUAAACCAGGAAUUACAGUCCUUACAGGUUUCUAUGCCUAACCAAACCUCUGUCCUGUACAGCACAAUGGCAGUAAAAUGGGACUGUACUAUUCAUAUUUUACCUAGAAUCGCUCCCUAAUAGCAGGAGGAAUAACUAAAUGUGUGUUUGUUACAUACCCUUUCUUAUUUGUCCUGUUUUCUUGUUAAGCUUUGGCUGCUUGAGAUACGCCACUGCAGUGCCUCCCACAGGGAUUGUUCCCGGCAGGUUGUCACAGCCAUAUUAAAUUGGCUCCCCAUGCACUGGGACCCGCAGGCUACCCUGCUUUGUGCUGUGGAGACUUGUUAGCAGUGCGGUAUUUAAAUGACGUUACAAAGCAAGUGGGCUUUGAGGAGCCAAGGAAAAGAAGUAAUCUGUGAAAGAUGGGGAGUUUAAGAAGCCAUUUCUGGUCUGGAAAGGACUGUCAAAAUAGAAGUCUGCCUACAGUGAGAACACUGACCACUUCUAGCAGAGUAGAUGCUAAUAGCUACAGUUAUGAACCAGGGAAAGCAGCUUAGAAAAAACUUCCCAAGGUGGUACUGUCCAAUCUACGAGUGGCAUCCUUAUUAUGAACUAGGCAUAUCUUGUAGGAGAUAGACUUGGUAGAAAUGUGUCCUUUCCAUGAGGAGGCUCUAAAGGAAUACCUGCAAUAGGCUUUAGUGGUUGCUGCAAAAGCCAAAGAGCUGCACAGGAUUACGGAUGGUAGCUGGACAUUCAUUCAUUCAGUGGGUAACUCUUAUCUCCUCAGGUCCAGCUCCAGCCCAUUUUCCAGCCAAGGCUUGUUACGUAGGUAGAUCGCAGAGCACUUCAUGCAGGGAAGAGUAAAGAAGUCUAAUCUAGAGGUCCUAAACUGCACCACUUUCUCUCCCUGCUGCCUUAGUGGGAUACAUAGAAGUGGGAUAGUAUUACAACUCAGUGCCUCAGAAUCUUUAUUUGCUGCUUUUUUUAAUCUGUACUCUCCUUUCUAGGAGUGAGGACUCAACUGACAAAGGAAGCACUUGGUUUUGCAUUAAUGGCCUGUAGUAUACACAUGGCUUAAAAGGCACAGGGUGCUACUCUGGCUGUGGUUCUACAAGAGUUGCUGCCUGUCUCACUCAGUGGUG